ACUACCCGCUGAACUUAAGCAUAUCA
rnacentral:rRNA from 1 species